UGGGGAAUAUUGGACAAUGGGCGAAAGCCUGAUCCAGCCAUGCCGCGUGUGUGAAGAAGGUCUUCGGAUUGUAAAGCACUUUAAGUUGGGAGGAAGGGCAGUAAGCGAAUACCUUGCUGUUUUGACGUUACCGACAGAAUAAGCACCGGCUAACUCUGUGCCAGCAGCCGCGGUAAUACAGAGGGUGCAAGCGUGAAUCGGAAUUACUGGGCGUAAAGCGCGCGUAGGUGGUUCGUUAAGUUGAAUGUGAAAGCCCCGGGCUCAACCUGGGAACUGCAUCCAAAACUGGCGAGCUAGAGUAGGGCAGAGGGUGGUGGAAUUUCCUGUGUAGCGGUGAAAUGCGUAGAUAUAGGAAGGAACACCAGUGGCGAAGGCGACCACCUGGGCUCAUACUGACACUGAGGUGCGAAAGCGUGGGGAGCAAACAGG
rnacentral:rRNA from 1 species